GUCUCCGUCGGGCGGGCGGGCGGCGAGCGGCCAGGGCGGGCGGGCGACGGAGCAUGCGCAGAGGCCGCCACGGCCGCUACUGCCACCGCCGCCGCCAGGCCGAGCUUCAACACUUCCGGCCGCCGCCGCCGGCGAGCUGGCGCCUUAAAGGGGACGCGUCCUUAUUGCGGGCCCCGCGGAGGAUGAAUCUCAGCCGGAGGAAUUUGAAUGAACCUUUACCUGAGAAGGGGUCUUUUGCUCUGGAGAGUCAGUAUUGGGAAGAGCUCUGGGGACCCUAAUAACUCUUCUUCCCCAACUUCAAGGCCUUUCCUGGCUCCCAACCUGAAGUUGUGUCCCAGCCACAUUCUUCUCUAUCAUCGCUGCCCCCAGUUCCAUCAGGACAACUGUCAUGUUGAUCUGGGGGGACUAUUCCAGGGCAAAGACCACCUCUGAGAGAACUCCCCUCCCCAUGCCCUACUUUCUCUCAAUCCCCCUGCUUACUUUUGUAGCAGUCCCAUAAUUUGAAAUCCCCUAGAGGGGUGCCUGGCUGGCUCAUUCAGCAGAGCACGUGACUCUUGAUCUUGGGGUUGUAAGUUUGAGCCCCAUGUUGGGUAUGGAGAUUACUUUAAAAAAAUAAAAUCUUUUGUGGUUUUAGGCA